ensembl:lncRNA
AGAGCAGAGCAGAGCAGAGCAGAGAAGAGAAGAGAAGAGAAGAGAAGAGAAGAGAAGAGAAGAGAAGAGAAGAGAAGAGAAGAGAAGAGAAGAGAAGAGAAGAGAAGAGAAGAGAAGAGAAGAGAACUCACUGGUGAUAUUGAGAUCUUCUAUCCUUCAAAGGGAUGAGACUACAUCCUCUGGCAAAUCCUGCAUGAUAUUCUAGCUGCCAGAAGAUCAGGUUUGCAACAGCUCCUCUUCAGUUCUGUAAGUUAAGCAGAUAAUAAAAGUGUUUUGUUGCAUCUUUGGUGGGGAGAGAAGUAAGAGCUGGUUGGGCAGAUAUGGAGAGAAACAAGAGCCUAAUGCUGCCUGUUACAUUUAUUGCAAUAAGCAAGAGAAGGAAGUGAGUUUGUCCAGAUGAAGGGAAUGAGAACACUGAUAUCCAUGCUACUCUGGGGGUAUGCUGGGAGAGAUCUGCUAGAACCAAGUACUGGAAGCCAAUAUCCAUCCUUCACUGAUUUCAACACUGUUUGAACUGCAUUGGCCUUUUUGGCCACAAACUAUUUUUAGAAACAAAGUCUACAUUUUCCCCUGUGCUUCAUUGUUUGUAAAACAACCUUGGAAACUCGAUUAAAAAAACAACAAACAAACAAACAAACAAACAAACAAAAAACAAAAAAAGCAGCCUUACCAUAUUUUUUCUCAUCCAUUUGACAAAUUUUGCUUUUCUGCCUUGUUGUUUCCCACAGAGCUGCAGCCAGCAUGGCUUUCCAACUUGUGGAUUUCCUUCUGCCACAGUUUUUAACGUGGUCCAUAAAUAUAAGCCCUGCUCUGGAGAUUUGGCACAACUGAUCAUGCUCUCUCUACUGCCUUCCUGUCUUGCUGCAAGAGCAAAGUAAACUCAAGGCUGAAUGAGGAUCCACAUCCUGCAGUUGGUCUUUGCUUGUUGUAGCUGCACUGAAAAUGGUUUUAAAUACUGCAUGCUGUUCUCUUACAUUUUUACCAGUUCUGAGUGUCCAUUGCUUGAUAAGCCUUUGUGGUCUCCUUGGGGGUUGACAGAAAUAACUUUUGACAGAGGAUCAAUGUGAACAGAUGAGAACUUGUGCUGAUCAGAAGGUGCACAGGUGCCUACCCAGAGGGAUGAUCACACAGAGGUCUCUAUCAGAUGGAUAUCACAGACUGCAAUUAUGUGGGAGGGAGGACAUUGAAAGUCCUGCCUCAUCUUGCUACACGUUGUUAAGGUUUUUGGUUUUCAUUGCAUUUUCAUUUCUAGGGAGAACAUAGUUGAAGCAGUGUUGCUUUUGCCUGAUGGUGGACCAUGUACUGAAAGACAAAGAUCAUGUGUCUGUGACAUUGAAACUAGAUGAUCAUUAUUGUCCUUUUCAACUCAGGCCAUUCUAUGAUUCUGUGACAUCCUAAAAACAUGAUAUUCUGUGACUCUAGAAGUCCCAACUCCUCAUUUUCUGUUGAUGCCACCUGCAAGGACAUGCUAGAAAUGAGGAGAAGUGGUGAGCCCAUGGAAAUCUCUGAUGUUCACAUGUGAAGUAUCUCUUCACCAGACUACAGGGGACUGAGGAAGACAAGGUGGAAGACAGCAAAAUUCACGCAUGUGUUGCUCAAGUUUUGGGGUAUGUCAACUAUCUGGAGCCAUUUAGAUGACAGUGGGAGGGAUUUUGGAUACUGCCAUCUCUGUUCUACUGCCGGGAAUCCUGCUGCCCAGGUGGAGGAGCUGAGGUUUGAUAUUUCCUUAAGUACAAUAGCUAAACAAAUGGUAAGGUGAAGAGAGGCUGUUGUUUCACCAGCUGAUUUAUCAGGCAUUGUUUUUUUGGCAGCAGAGGGCUGCUUCUGGCUGCUCUGACCAUGACUCAUGGGGAUGGGUUGCAGUUGAUGCACAAGAGGAUUUUGGUACUGUACUUGUUGAGGUCAGGAAACUACUUGGACAAUUUUUAGCCAUUCAGAUCUGGAGAUGAGAGUGUGUUGACACAUGGGGGAUAAAGUAAAAAUUGAGGGAAGCCAUAAGGGCGUUUGCCAGACAUGACUUCUGUGAUUCUCCCAGGACAGGAGCUUGCAAAUGUACUUACCACCUAUCUAAUGCUGGCUUUUGCUCCUCAGUUGCUGCUCACAGCAUGGGAAUGUGCAUGGCCAGUAUUGACCUUCAUCCCAUUUUUUCAUGGAUGUAAUGAGGAAGUCUGUGAGUGUGCACUGUGGCUGCACUGAUAUCUUAUAGCUCAGCAGCAUCUGAGAGUUGCUGGGAUUUCUCAGAGAAGUUAGAAGCAUUGCAUGGAGGAUGCCCCCAGUUUGGGUAAUGGCCAUUCCAGCAGGAACAGUGUAUCUAUAUGAUGAGAUGACACAAUAUUGAUGUGAUAAGAGUUGGAAAAGGGCCAGGGUUGCAGACUGGACACCUUCUAUCCAAAAAUAUACCAGGAAAUGGCUGCUCUUCAGAUCACUUCAGGACAUGGACAGAGUUGUGGUACUUAUAGUUAUUCUGGAAGACGAUAAGAUUUUCAUUGUUUUCUAUGUAUCUUUAAACAGAAAGUUUAGAGGAGUAUGUCAGUCUCGCCUGUUUCUGGAAGACAAAGAGAUAAGAAGGAAUGCCUUGUGCUAAUUAUGGCUGUUUCCCAUCUGUUUCCUUUUGAAAUAAUAGCUUCAUGGAGAAGGCUAUGUAGUAUCAGGGGAGAUUCUCGAGAACAGCUUGGAGCAGACACAUUGUGGACGGGUGUAAAUAUGCCCCACAUGAUGACAGGAAGGUCAGGAGUGCACUGUGCCUCUGCUUUGAAAUGUGCUGAAAUAAAAAAAAAAAGAACAAGUAGUCUUGGAGGAUAUAAAAUAUCCCUGCAGGGGGAAAAUAUGGGGUUGGACCGAGUGACCUCCAGAAGUCCCUUCCAACCUCAACCAUUCAGUGAGUCUGUAGUUUUAUAAGUGUUAGACAGCACUCUGGUGGCGUAUUUUUCCAUCUCACUUGCAUAAAUUCAUGUACCGGAAUUAAUAAAAAAAGCCGUGAAAUAAAUGCACUUAGUCUUUAGAAAUAAA